AAAAAAAACUGAAACUGGCCUUUUUUUUUCUUUUUUUUUCAACACACUCCAAGUGAAACGACGCCGUUUCACUUGAAGAUUGUUUUUAAAACACUACAAUCAAAACGAUAUCGUUUUAUGACAUUUAACCUAAAAAAAAAAAUCAAAACGAGUUGUCUUCCUCGCACACAAUUUGCAGACUCGCAAAUUUCUUCCAAUUCAAAAGUUUCCAAAUCUGGCACGCCUUGCUCCGCCUCGCUGCUCCUAGCCACGCCUUGCAACGUCUUCUUACGCCUUCCCAGCGCUAAACGUGUAACUUGCGAAACAGCCCACCGCCUCGGGAGUUUUCC
rnacentral:lncRNA from 1 species